UAACGCGAAGAACCUUACCAGGGCUUAAAUGCAGGCUGCAUGGGGCAGAGACGCCCCUUUCUUCGGACUGCCUGCAAGGUGCUGCAUGGUUGUCGUCAGCUCGUGCCGUGAGGUGUCAGGUUAAGUCCUAUAACGAGCGCAACCCCUGCCGUUAGUUGCCAGCAUGUAAAGAUGGGGACUCUAACGGGACUGCCGGUGCAAACCGUGAGGAAGGUGGGGACGACGUCAAAUCAUCACGGCCCUUACGUCCUGGGCCACACACGUGCUACAAUGGCCGGUACAGAGGGAAGCCACCCCGUAAGGGAGAGCGGAUCUACAAAGCCGGUCUCAGUUCGGAUCGGGGUCUGCAACUCGACCCCGUGAAGCUGGAAUCGCUAGUAAUCGGAUAUCAGCCAUGAUCCGGUGAAUACGUUCCCGGGUCUUGUACACACGC
rnacentral:rRNA from 1 species